UAUAGGAUGGCAGAAAAAUGCCUAAACUUUAAGCGUUUAUCAUGAUCUAAUGAUCUCCUAUAA
rnacentral:tRNA from 1 species